rfam:Picea glauca, whole genome shotgun sequence.
ACAUGCCUACAUCAUAGAGUUAAUGCACCAGAUCCCAUUAUAACUCUGCAAUUAAUCAUGCUUGGGCUAGAGUAGUAUUGGGAUGGGUGACCACUUGGGAAGUCCUAGUAUUUUACAUGCC